rnacentral:rRNA from 1 species
GUUGAACGCUGGCGGCGGGCCUAACACAUGCAAGUCGAGCGGACGGAGGAGGAGUUCGCCUGGCUUCUGUUAGCGGCGGACGGGUGAGGAACAGGUAGCUACCCGACCUAUAAGAAUGGGGUCACUACGGGAAACCUAAUCUAACACCGGUCAUUAUUUUGAACGGCAGGGUUCAUCAGUGCACGACGGACCAGCUGACACUUAUAGGUGUAUCCAAGCUGCAUUAGCUAGUUGGUAAGGUAACGGCUUACCAAGGCUACGAUGCAUAGCUGACCUGAGAGGAUGAUCAGCCACACUGGAACUGAGACACGGUCCAGACUCCUACGGGAGGCAGCAGUGGGGAAUCUUGCACAAAGGGCGAAAGCCUGACCCAGCAAUGCCGCGUGUGUGAAGAAGGUCUUCGGAUCGUAAAGCACUUUUAGUAGGGAGGAACAGCAGUGUGUUUAUCCGUGCCUGUCUUGACGUUACCUACAGAGUAAGCCCCGGCUAACUACGUG